UACGUAGGGGGCAAGCGUUAUCCGGAUUCACUGGGUGUAAAGGGAGCGUAGACGGCCAUGCAAGCCAGGGGUGAAAGCCCGGGGCACAACCCCGGGACUGCCCUUGGAACUGCAUGGCUGGAGUGCGGGAGGGGCAGGCGGAAUUCCUGGUGUAGCGGUGAAAUCCGUAGAGAUCAAGAGGAAUACUCAUUGCGAAGGCGACCUGCUAGAACAUAACUGACGCUGAUGCGCGAAAGCGUGGGGAGCAAACAGG
rnacentral:rRNA from 1 species